GAUGAACGCUGGCGGCGUGCUUAACACAUGCAAGUCGAACGGAAAGGCCCUGCUUUUGUGGGGUGCUCGAGUGGCGAAAGGGUGAGUAUCACGCGUGUAAAAUGCACUUGUCUUUGGGAUAACUCUUGGAAACUGGGGCUCUUACCGGAUAGGAGCUCCUGAUGCAUGGUGGGGGAUGGUAAGUUUCGGCGGUUGGGGAUGGACUCGCGGCUUAUCAGCUUGUUGGGGGGGUAGUGGAUUACCCAGGCUUUGACGGGUAGCCGGCCUGAGAGGGUGGCCGGCCACAAUGGGACUGAGGGACGGCCCAGUCGCCUACGGGAGGCAGCAGUGGAGAAGAUUGCACAGGGGGCGCGAGCCAGAGACAACAACCCCGCGAGCGUAAAGACCUCCUUCUGGUUGUAAACCGCUUUGGCCGGUGACGAAGCGGGAGUGACGGUAAUUAGUAAAGAAGCACCGGCUAACUACGUG
rnacentral:rRNA from 1 species